GUCAAGCAAAGCAAAGGGUUGUUCUGGACUCCACCAUUUUACAACAGGAAAAGUAGGUGCUACUGUUAAUUGAGAGAAGCUUUUAAAAAAGUUGACGCCCUUUACCCCUGAAGAAAGAUUACAUGCACACUUUUGCCUCUUCUACAUAACUUCAUCAGAGGACAAUCAUCAUCCAGAUCUUCCUCGCUCUACAAUCUGCCUACAAAUGAGUGUUCAUAGCAAGCAUGCAACCAAGCUGUGAUACACGAAGUAUUACUGAAUUUAAUCAUUCCAUGUCACCUGUACUUUUUUCUCCAGUGUACAAUGCUUCAUAGAUCAAAUUGCUAAAAACAUCACCAACCUUUGCCAUCUUCUGGAGACUGUGCUUCAAAUUCAUUCAGGCUUUUACCUCAAAAUACAUUAUAAUUAACUCCAAAGCUAUAGAAUUCAUACCUGAUUUUUUUUGUCAUCCCCAGCGUUAGAUUCUUGACAAGAAUAUAGUAAAAGCGGUUUUUAGUAGAUUCCAUAAGCAAUGACUGAUGUAGACGAUGGUGUAUUAAUAAACAUGAGGAAGCCUAUGACAUUGUUUUUUACCCUUGUGAAAGAGGUUCUGCUAAGGUAUGCUUUUGAAAUGAGACAAAUAACAUCUGACAAAAAUAAGACCCUGCAAUUAUAAGAAAAAAGCGUUGUAAAAAUACAGCUCAGGAAGAAAAAAACCAGUUUCUGUCCUUUAAGAGUGCAGGACAGACUGUAAAGGUACUUUUAUUUUCUCCAAUCUAUAUGUAAAUUGAAAUAGCCUGAAAAAGGUAACAAACAGCACUGGUCUUUGUAAAUAGUCAACUGGUCACUAGUAGUGCAAUCUCCAUAUUGCACCAGGUACUUCU